CCGCUUGAAGAAGAAGACAUCGUGUCGUACAUACUUGCCGGUCUUGAUGCUGACUAUGAACCGGUGGUAGCGGCACUGGCGGCUCGAGUAGAGCCGGUCACCGUGGCCGAACUCUACUCACAGCUGCUAGGAUUUGAAG